rnacentral:lncRNA from 1 species
UCAAAAUCUGGAAGUGCCCCAGCAGAGCUGGCAGUUUUGUCUGCUGCUCGACUACAUUUAUUUGGUUGGACAAAUGACAAAGUUGUUUGAUGAGUUUGUUUCAUAAUGUAUUUCGGAAGUAAUGUAAGGCAAAAAUAUUUGACAGAAGUGAAGUAACAUGAGGUUCUAAAUAAGCAGCCAAUCCGAGCUAUGUCUUAUUGGAUGUUUUUGAAAUGUUGCAUUUGUAAUAAUUAUGCGACUGGCUUUUGUAUGCUACUUUUUGCAUGCUUUAUCUACCACAAAAAGAAUGUAUAUAUUCUUUAUAUUCUUAUAUUCUUCUUAUAUUCCAUAUAAGUUCACUGUAUUACAUUUAUACGCAACAGUAAGAUGUCAGUGAACACUAUGCCCGCUGACAAAAAAGUGGGUAGAAAGCGUACCUGCAUAUACCCUCCACUAACCCACUGGUAAGAACUGAGUUUACGCAAUGGCAGCAGACAAAAAAGUGGGUAUACCCUCCACUACACCACUGCUUGUGCAUCUCUAGUUGGCCCUGUUUUUGCAUGUUCUCUACUAUGUGUUUUUGAACUGCAUGUGCAAGGUACUAUGCUUGGUGCCAAUGAGAUCAACCACUGCAACACUUGAUGUCUGCAGCUAUGGGUGUGUCGGUGUUAUUUUGCUUUCCAUCUGCUUAGUGUUUGCUCACUAUGGCAAGGGAAUACAAGGAGCCUGCAAUAGUAAAGUUUGCAUUUGAGAACUUUGAGGAUGAGGCUCUGCGUAACCGAUGGAAAGCAAACCAGUGCCACUGAAGUGCGAGGAACAACGUAUCUUUUGCAAGGUAAACAUAUGUAACUUUAGCUAUCUAGCUAACCAAAACCUUGUAAGCAAGUCAUCAUGUUGAUGUAGCAAGUCAUCUGGCUAACUUAACAAAUUAUAAAUGCAACACUGAGCUUUUAAGGUUGUUGACUAACGUUAAGUGGUGUUGUGCUUUUUGUUAGGAGUUGUGCUGUGCUAGCUAGCUAUUUAUUCAGGCCAGAGAAAACAUUUGUGCUCUGGCAACAAACUAAAGCUGGCUAAUUGCUUUGUUAGUUUCUUACUUUCCUCAUUUGUGUAAUUUAGUCUGCUGUUCACACUAAUGCAGCAUUUCCACUGGUGCUUUACCUGGUACAUGGGCUUCACCAGUGAUUUAUGCUAAUGUUGGCUCUAGACUAUCCUGUUUCAACUACACAUUUGGAAACAAGGAUUCAGGAGGGGCUCAGGUAGGGAGGGAGGCGUUUGAACUUGAGUAAAACUAAUUAUAAUUUUAGCAAACUCCUGAGACUGGCUCCUUCUCCACCUAUACUUGUGACACUGUCAGUGUAUUCAUUAUUUAGUUUAAUAAGUAUUUUGUCAAAACUAUCUACCAUUUAUAGAAGGAUUUGGGAGAAUUCAGAGGUAAUUUUGUGUCGUUAUUGGUUCUGCAGGCUACAUCUCAGUGCUCC